GCUGUCAUGCGCAGUGUUUCUUUGGACCUUAACGAGCACGUUGAAAGAAAAAUACUGGGUGAACCAAGGUGAACAAAAGAGCGUGUUUGAGUGACACAGUUUUGUUUUGAAGUCGGAGUUUUAAGUUUUCCUCAUCCGAGCGGUCUUGUUUCCAGCCACCACACUACGAAGAGGUACAAGUGGACAUGUGGCUUCAAAUGCGCUUACUUUAGACUUCAUCAGUAAGGUGGAGUGGGAAGUGUUUGUCACAUAAAGCAGUUCCACCUUGGUGGCAAAUCUUUUGCUGAUGACCAAGAGAUGGAAAUGGAAGUGCAGAAGUGGCAGAGCCUACAGUCAAAAGACUUCUAUGCUGCAGGUUUCACUAUGCCGGUAAAACGUUGGGACAGGUGUAGCAAAGUUGGUGGACAUGUCGAGAAAUAAAUGUUUUUCCCAGGUUCAAAUAUCACAUUUGAUGUAUUACACAGUACAGUCAAUAAUUUCAUGGACUGGCCACAUAGAGGGCACUCUCAUGCACUACAAUGGACAAGUGGAGCCACAAGAUGGCGCUGUGUCCAUGCGGUGUAUUCUGAAAGAAAGUCACUGUUGUGAAGGGUAGCUGUCUGUGAGCAGUGGAAAACGAGAAGGUCGUAGUUUGAGCAACAGGAAAACGCCAAGUUCUGCCAAAAAUUAGGCAAAUCCACUAGCAAAAUGUUUCACAUGAUCAAGCAAGUGUACAGUCAAAAAGACUUGGACCACAGAGCUGUGUUUAAGUGGCACAAACGUUUUGCACAGGGGACAGAUAGUUUGGAAGUUGAUGAGCAUACUGGUUGGUCAAGAACAGUCAGAAUUGAACUCAAGAUCCAAGAAGUUGCAAUGCUGGUGCAUGUCAACUGCUCUCAAACGGUAGAUGAAAUUACAGCAGCAGCAGCAGCAGGGAUUACCCAUGGUACUUGCCACAAAAUUCUGUGUGAUGACCUGAACAUGUCUCAUGUUACCCAACACAGUGUUCCACACGUCCUGACACAAGACCAAUGUGACAAUUGUAUGAGCAUUUGCAGUGACCUGAUUGAUACUGAUCACAAAGACGAGAUGUUUCUGAACGGGAUCAUGACAGGAGACGAACAUGGUGUUUUCUGUACAAUCUGCAACUGAAUCGACAAUUGGCCACCUCAAAAUAGCCAUCAUCUCCAAGAAAUAAAAAACUGUGACAGGACAGGUCAAAAGGCAAGGUAAUGCUUGAAUUGUUUUUCAACUCUUCUAGAAUUGUUCAAAUGUAAUUCAUCCCAGAAGGAGCGACUGUAAACAAGCACCACUCCAAGGAGAUCCUUCACCAUUUACACAAUUCAAUUUGUCAUUAAGCGUCCUGAGCUUUGGUACAGGAAGAACUGACUGUUGCUACAUGACAAUGUCCCUGCACAUCGCUCUGUGCUUGUUCAAGAGGAGCUGCCAAAACAACAGGUCACUGUUCUGCCACACCCUGAUCUUGCACUAUGCAAUUUCUUCUUCUUUCCCCACUUGAGAGAAAAGCUACAGUCAUCAAUUUCAGUCAGCCAAGGAGACUGUCACUGCCACAAGGGAAGCUGUACGGAACCUUCCUGCAAAUAUCUUUCAGCACUGUUUCCAGCAGCUAUACCAACAUUGGCAGACUUGCACAGCAGCCAACAAAGACAAUUUUGAGGGAUGAUAUGGAUAUGUUUACGCGUGAGUACCUUGUAACAUGCUGCGACUGAAUCACAGUGCACAAAAUUAUUGACUGUAGUAGUAUAUCAAUUUGUGACUCAUUUACUGACUCUCCCUCAUAAAUACCAACUCCAUUAAGAAAUGUUGCAAUGAAAUAAGUGGGAGAGUGAGUGAAGGUUUGUCCCACAGAGAGACAGCUGCAUAAAGAUUGCUUUCACUUGAACCUGUCAUAUAUUAUAAUGCUAGCAAUACUGUACAUCUAACAAUGUUAUUAAAUUACCGUUGGUAACUGGAAAAUCAAGAUUAAGUUCUCAGCUAUAGCAGUGGUUUUUUUUUUCUUUACCAUGAUGUUCCAUGUUGAGAUUAACUAUGGGGCCCCAGAGUCCUCUAUGCACUGGGUACAGGGAGAUUUAUUUUGAAGGAUAAAGUGGUGGAGCGAGAAGCUGAACAAUCAUCUUUACCUGGUAAAAACAGGUAAAGUUGUCCGUGUGUUUAAUUAAGCACAAUACCAUGAAGAUGUGUGGGAGAGUGGAAAUAUUGCUCCCUCAUUCUUGAGCUUGGAACUAGAUGGAGAUGAGCAAUCAGCUUCACAACUCAGCCACUUUAACCUCGAGGAAAGAGUCCCCAGUACCAAUUUUAUAGGAGGCUGGGUGGGCCCCACAACCAAUCUGAAAACUAUGGGGCACAGAAAAAUCUCUUGCCCUUAAAGUAAUGAAACCCAGGUCAUCCAGCAUGCAGCUAUAUUGACUGCACUAUACUGGUUCCCACCUUCAACUAGUACAAAUGUUAAGAAUGCAAGGACAUUCAGUCUUAUGCUCCCAUAUGACUUCAUGGCGUGGUUUUUCAGUAAAGGGACAGCUUCACAAUUACAUUUUAUUAGAUUUGUGUUUGCUAAUCACAAAUUUCACUCUUGUUAAGCCCAGCACCACUUCAGCGAAACUGCAAAGUGCGGAUAGCAAAGCUCGACUGACACAGACUGGAUUAGCUCUAAUAAUAUCACUAACUGUCAUCCACUAGCUUGUACAUUAUUUUAGUAAAAUUUUUUAGAACAAGUACAUAAAGUUGCAUGAAUUCUUCACUACUGUUAACAAGGGGGACUGUUUCUUCUUGUUUUUUUCUCAAGUAAUUUAUCCUGUCAAUUCUUCUUUUCUAAACAAAACAUAUUGAUUACAUCACAGUGAUAUUAAUACAUAUUAAACAUAAAUAUCAGAAUCAAACAGCUAUAUAAAAUUUAUAAUUUAUU